rnacentral:lncRNA from 1 species
GCAUCUGAGUGUCCACAUCCAAGCCAAGUUUCUAUGCAAAGUAAAGCAGUCUUUCCUCUGCUCCAACACAUGUCUUCACUUGCAAAUUCUCCAAGAUUUGAAACAGAGUUUCCAUCUCCUUUCCCUCUAAAGUGAUGAUGAAAAUAGGUUUGUCUCAUUACAUGCAGGAAAGUCAGCUGUUAAUACUACUUGAUGCUUUCCCAUGAAUUGCUCUCGGUUCCCUCCAUUUUUUUUUUUUUUUUUUUUUGACAAUUCGUUCUUACCCUCAGCCCCUCACCCUCAUCUCUUUAUACAUUGUCUCUAGUCAGGUGCAUCCAAAUUCCAAUGUUCCGUGCGAAUCUUGAACCACGCACUCUGCUUCAAAACUUUUACUCUCGUACCCACUACAUAUAUUUGGGAAGAUAUUUCAAAUAUACGUAUAUUUGGAAAGAUAUAUAUUUUGGAAAAAUAUACUUCCCCACCUAUUUUAAAACUGGCACCUAAAAUAUACGUAUAUUUAAAAAAUAUACUUCCCCACUUAUUUUAAAGCUGGCACCUGAAAUGUUCCUAUGUUGAGCACUGGUAAAGGAUUUAAUUAUCAGCAUGUUACAUAGGAAUACAUAUUAUAUAUCAAAUGUAUUUCUGUACAAAUAUUGGUACAGCAGAUUCACAUCUAUUGAUGGAAUAUAUUAUACAAUGAAACUUACAGAACCAAUCAAUCCUCUGUCCCAUCAGAAAGCCAAAUCGGACCUACUUUCUGUCCAACAGUGGUAUUCCAUUUAUCCUUUCAAAUAAAUGUGCAGGAACAGUGUCAUUCUGAAUUUUGACAGAGCUUUGAUGAGUGAGGCCGUUGGUCCUUGGGCAUGUGAAGCACUGCUGUGAAGAGGGUGGAGUGACAUAGAAAGGUUGAGUUGCUUGGGGAAUGAUGACCAGAUGGGUGGUGCCAUUUUUGUAUUCUGCACGCACUCUGGGAGGUGGCUCUGGGUGGGUGUCUCUCUAAGAUCUUCCCCCUAAAAGAAUUGCCACUGAUCCCACCCGGAUGUCCCCUUGGCAAUUCAACUUGCCCUGUCCCCUGCAUAGACAUUCCUAACAUCCUUCGGGCCACCCUACGUCAAUAAGAAUAGCCCAGGUGUUACUUUGGCUGGAUGAUCAAGAACCAGUUCAACAUCAAGGUCCUUACCAGGGAUGAGUCAGGAUACUUUUCUGCCCCUCUUGCAAUGAAGGGAGCAGAGAAGCCUUUCUCUUCUGUCGUCUUCAUCCCCAAAUGCUUAAGCCCUGUGUCAUCAGACAAAAUAAGAAAUGUUCUACAGAAUACCUACCUGCUCAUUACUUCUCCAGCCCAUCAAAGGUAUGGAGAUCAAGGAAUGUUUGAGGAAUGGUCACAGACUGGAAGAGACUAAGAAUGGAAAUACGGAGUUAGCGAAAUCCAAAGAACAUAUGGAAUUGGGUUAGCAUGAAUAUAUAGCGCUGGUUUUUCAGUUGUGACAAAAGGUACCGUUGUUGUGUAAGGUGCUGACAUGAGCAGAAAUGGGUGAGACGUACACACAGCAGCUUUUCUGCGCUCUCUUUGCAACUUUCCUGUAAAUCUAAAUGUAUUCCAAAAUAGUUUGUUGUAACAAAAACACAAAAAAAGCAAUUGUAAUAGGAAACCUUGACUCUUAGGCUUUUGCAUCAGUUUUGCUGCUGUAGCAUCACUUCCCUGUGGGAGAUGUUUCUUUGGCCCUGUCAUCAAAUCCUGACCAGUUGAGUGUAUCUCUUCCUACACAACCCUUUUGAUGUUUAUCUCAAUCUUUAGGGUCAUUCAAGCUCCAUAACUGCCAGGAUAAAUGGGAUUUUGUUUUUUAACUUUUUAGGUAGAGCCAAGGGUGUGGUCUCUUAUUUUUAAUUAUCACCCAAAGUAGAUUGCACUGGGGUUCAUUUUUGUUGUUUGAAAUUCCAUGGGUUUGGACAAACAUAAAAUGUCAUAUAUCUAGCAUUAUAGUAUCAUUUAGAGUGACUUCUCUGCCCUCAAAUUCUUCUUUUCUCUACCUGCUUAUUCCAUGUUAUCCCCAAGCCCUGGCCACCUGUAAUCUUUUCACCAUCUCUAUUGUUUUGCCUUUUCCAGGGUAUCAUUUAGUUGGAAUCAUACAGUGUGUAGCUUUCACAAAUGGGCUUCUUCACUUAGUGAUAUGCAUGUAAGUUUCUUCCAUAUCUUUCCGUGACUUGAUAGCUCUCUUCUUCAUAGACGAUGAUAAUAUGCCAUUGGAUGGAUCACUGUUUAUUUCUCCACUUACUUGCUACACAGCGUCCUCGCUGCUUCUAUGUUUUAGCAAUGAGGAGUAAAGCUGCUGCAAACAUCCGUGGACAGGUUUUGUGUGGGUGUCCGUCUUCAGCUCCUUUGGGUAAAUAUUAAGGAGUAAGAUUGUAGGGUCUUAUGGUAAAGCCUAUGUUUACUUUUGUAAGAAAACUUCCAACAGUCUUUACCAUUUUGCAUCCUACUUGCUUUCUUAGACAGUUUCCUCUUUGGGACUUUGAAUGUCACAUGGGAGGGAGACAGAGGAUACUAAUCAAUAUUUUUUCAGUAUCAAAUGAUCCGGAGCACCUGGGCCGUGUAUUUAAAAUGUUCGUUGCCCAGCCACCUCCCUCGAGACUCUGAUGCAGUGGGUCUGGAGUGGGUCCUGGAAACUUGCCCGUGUGCUCAGGAGCCUAUCUUUGAGUAUUGCUGGCUGAUUCUGGUGAACUUCCUCCUGCUGCCUGGUCAGAGGGGAAGGUCUUGCCCACUUUGGAAAAAGGAUGUUCCUAGUUUACCUCAUUCAUCUAUUACUGUCUUCUGAAAUUGCCAUUAAGUUAGCAAUUGCAUUUUUUUUUUUUUUGGUCUUUUUUUCGGGGAUGCACCUGCACCUGUGCAAGUUCCCAGGCUAGGGCUCAGAUCUGAGCUUCAGCUGCUGGCCUCUCUCACAGCCACAGCAAUGCCAGAUCCAAGAUACGUCUGCACCCUGCACCACAGCUCAUGGCAACACUGGCUCCUGGCUCCUUAACCCACUGAGCAAGGCCAGGGAUCCACCUCAACUUCUCAUAAAUCCUAGUCAGAUUAGUUACUGCAGAGCCAUGAUGAGAACUCCGACGCUAGGUUGUCUUGAAAAUAAACCUGGCUUCUCUGAUGGGAGGUAGAACUGUGAUUCAUGCCCCCCAGUUGUUGUUUUUUUGUUUUGUUUUUCAUUUUUUAGUUUUAUGGCCUCACCCAGGGCAUAUGAAAGUUCCAUGGCCAGGGACUGAUUCCUAACUUCAGCUGCAACCUACACGGCAGCUGUGGCAUUGCUGGAUCUUUAAUUCUUUGUACCGGGCCAAGGGUCAAACCCACAUCUCCACAGCACUCCAAGCCGCUGCAGUGGGGGUCUUAACCACUGUGCCCCGGGGGGAACUCCUCCCCCAGAUACUUAGUUGAAUGAAAAUCGUAGCCUGUUGAGGUGCAGUGAGAAUGGAGAACUUGGGGUGAGCAUGGGAGACCAUGAGGCUAGAAGGCAUGUCAUGUUCAGACCUAAUUAAUACAGACAUUUGAAAUCUGUAAAGUAGUCCACUGUGCCUUCCUGCCUCACAUUCAACACUUGCACAGAUAAAAGCCUUAGGAAUCGUCCACUGCAAUGUGGCCUUGUCUUGCAUAACCACAGUGCAAUCAUCAAAAUCAGGAAUUAACACGGAUCCAGUACUGCUGUUUCUCUAGAGACCUAGUCAGAUGCUGCCAAAUGUAAGAAUAAUGUCCAAAGUAACCUUCAGCUGUCCUGUUCCUGGAGUCUUUUUGUCUGGAAUAACUGUGUGUGUGUGUGUGUGUGUGUCUUUUUAGGGCCCCACCCACAGCAUAUGGAAUUUCCCAGGCUAGGGGUCGAAUCAGAGCUAUAGCCGCUGGCCUGCAGCACAGCAACUUGGGAUCUGAGCAGCAUCUGUGACCUACACCACACAGCUCAUAACAACGCCAGAUCCUUAACCCACUGAGCAAGGCUAGGGAAUCCAACCGAAGUCCUUUUGGAUACUUGGGUUCAUUCCCGAGGAGCCAUGAUGGGAACUCCUGGAAUAACUCUUCAGUCUAGAUCUUGGUAUGGCAGGACGUUGACAUUUUGGAAGAGAGUGGGUUCAUUAUUGCGGAAUGUCUCCAGUUUAGGAUUGUUUGAGCUCUCUAUGGUUGGGUUCAGGUUACGCUUUUUUGUUGCUGUUUUUCACAAAAAUGUAAAGAGUUCCCAUUGCGGCUCAGCGGGUUAAGAACUGGACUGGUAUCCAUGAGGAUGCGGGUUAGAUCUCUGUUCCCGCUUGGUGGGUUAAGGAUCCCACAUUGCCGUGAGCUGUGGUGUAGGUCACAGCUGCGGCUCAGACCUGGCACUGCUGUGGCCGUGGUGUAGCCCUGCAGCUGCAGCUCCAGUUGGACCCUAUCCUGGGAACUUUCAUAUGCUGGAGGCGCCCCAUAUCUGGAAUAAGGUCUAGGUCUGAAUCCACGUACCAAGGUCAUUCCCAUAAUUCCUUCUUCCCUUCUUGUGGAGAAGACAAAAGAACAUGUGAAGUGUUAAAAAAAAAAAAGACCAUUCUGCAGAGGUCCUAAAACACAAUGCAUCAAUGCCAAAAAUAGAGUGCCGUGUCGGUCACAUUGCUACUGGAUCCUCACCACUCUCACCCUUAUGAAAAUGGGGCUGAAGGGACGGUUGUUUUUUACCACUGGCUGCGGAAGAGAAACUACUGCAGAUGAUGCUAGAAAGGAAUUAAGAUUUUUUAAAAAAUAAUAUGUAUAUAAAAUUUUUAAUUUGGAUGAUGAGAUUUAAUGAAGAAACCAUGCAUCUUCCUAACUUGCCCUCCAAAGAGAAAAACUUUAUAGAUACCAGGUGUGUUAUUUUUUUUCGAUCUUGAUCUUGCUGUGAAGAGGAAUAGGGGAUUUUGGUUCAACUCUCUGAGUCUUUUGUCUGUCCUCCUGUAAGAUCAUGGAUUCUGCAGGUGCCAGAGGCCCAAGCUCAGGGAUUCGACAAGAGUGAGUAGCCCUAGGGCUCUCCAUCUUUAUGGUCAUUCUAUGACAUU